GGGUGACUAGUGACAGAGAGAGGGAGCGGGUGACACAGUGACAGAGUUAGGGAGGGAGUGACUAGUGACAGAGAGAGGGAUGGGGUGACUAGUGACAGUCACCCCCCUCACUCUGUCACUAGUCACCCCUUCCCUCCCUCACUUUGCCACUAGUCAUCUCUUCCCUCCCUCACUCUGCCACUAGUCACCCAUUCCCUCACUCUGUCACUAGUCACCC